rnacentral:lncRNA from 1 species
CAUAUUAGUAACUUCUAAUGAACAUGUACUAUAUAUAUUGUUACAAUAAUAAGAACUCUACACACACACAAACAAAAAAGAAUUUUCCUUUAAUUCAAUAUGGAAAAGAAAUUGUUGACUGUGUUUUAUUUGGCCAUCUUAUUGAUCUUUUCAUGUGGUUAGUCAUUUCUUCUCUUUUCUGUUACCUCUAUCCUCUGAAAAGUAUAUAGAAGAUUCGAAUAAUUCUAUAUCUGCCGCAAUUAUAUAAUAAUUUUUAAUCUCACAUGAUGAAUUAAAAUAUUCAAUUAAUUAUUUGAAUUUAAAUAUACUUUUAUUUGAUGCUAACAAAUUUUUAAUUCCCAGAUAUGGUGAUAGGACAACGACCGAAGUGUGAGACUACCGAUGAUUGUAAUCAACAAGAUUGCGAGUGGGGGAUCGCCGUUCAGUUUCGCAAAUGUUGUGACGGUGAAUGUUAUUGUGUUAAUUACAGAAAUCCCUGUCCUCAUCAAUCAGGUGGUGGAUCUGGCCGCAAAGUUAUCUCAUAGGAUUCUUCCUAGUUGUUUAAAGUUAUUGGAGUUUUGUGCAAGUGGAUUUAAUGCCUAAUACUUGCUUAUAUAAUUAUUAAUUAUUACUAUGUUUCAAGGAGUAUUGCAAUAUCAAAUGAUGUUAUCAAUCAAAUUUUAAUUUUUAGAGUUUA